rnacentral:rRNA from 1 species
GACGAACGCUGGCGGCGUGCUUAACACAUGCAAGUCGAACGGAAAGGCCCUGCUUUUGUGGGGUGCUCGAGUGGCGAACGGGUGAGUAACACGUGAGUAACCUGCCCUUGACUUUGGGAUAACUUCAGGAAACUGGGGCUAAUACCGGAUAGGAGCUCCUGCUGCAUGGUGGGGGUUGGAAAGUUUCGGCGGUUGGGGAUGGACUCGCGUCGGAUCAGCUUGUUGGUAGGGUAGUGGCUUACCAAGGAGUUGACGGGUAGCUGGCCUGAGAGGGUGAGCGGCAACACGGGGAAUGAGACACGGCCCAGACUGAUACGGGAGGCAGCAGUGGGGAAUAGUGGACGAUGGGCGAAAGACUGAUCCAGCAAUGGCGGGUGAGUGAUGAAGGCGUUAGGGUUGUAAAGCGCUUUUACACGGGAUGAUAAUGACAGUACCGGGAGAAGAAGCGCCGGCUAACUACGUG